rnacentral:rRNA from 1 species
AUUGAACGCUGGCGGCAGGCCUAACACAUGCAAGUCGAACGAGUGGCGGACGGGUGAGUAAUGUCUGGGAAACUGCCUGAUGGAGGGGGAUAACUACUGGAAACGGUAGCUAAUACCGCAUACCAUCAGAUGUGCCCAGAUGGGAUUAGCUAGUUGGUGGGGUAACGGCUCACCAAGGCGCAGAUCCCUAGCUGGUCUGAGAGGAUGACCAGCCAAACUGGAACUGAGAAACGGGCCAGACCUCGACGGUAGGAAGCAGUGGGGAAUAUUUCACAAUGGGCGCAAGCCUGAGUCAGCCAGGCCGCGUGUAUGAAGAAGGCCUUCGGGUUGUAAAGUACUUUCAGCGGGGAGGCGUUACCCGCAGAAGAAGCACCGGCUAACUCCGUGCCAGCAGCCGCGGUAAUUC